CAGCAGCCGCGGGAAUACGUAGGUCCCGAGCGUUGUCCGGAUUUAUUGGGCGUAAAGCGAGCGCAGGCGGUUAGAUAAGUCUGAAGUUAAAGGCUGUGGCUUAACCAUAGUACGCUUUGGAAACUGUUUAACUUGAGUGCAAGAGGGGAGAGUGGAAUUCCAUGUGUAGCGGUGAAAUGCGUAGAUAUAUGGAGGAACACCGGUGGCGAAAGCGGCUCUCUGGCUUGUAACUGACGCUGAGGCGCGAAAGCCAGGGGAGCGAACGGGAUUAGAUACCCGUGUAGUCCCUGUCUCUUAUACC
rnacentral:rRNA from 1 species